rnacentral:tRNA from 1 species
CAGAAAGUAGUUUAACAAAAACAAAGGCUUUGGGAGCCUUAGAUUUAGGCCACUAACUUUUUGA